rnacentral:rRNA from 1 species
UACGAAGGGUGCAAGCGUUACUCGGAAUUACUGGGCGUAAAGCGUGCGUAGGUGGUCUGUUAAGUCUGAUGUGAAAGCCCUGGGCUCAACCUGGGAAUGGCAUUGGAUACUGGCAGGCUAGAGUGCGGUAGAGGAUGGCGGAAUUCCCGGUGUAGCAGUGAAAUGCGUAGAGAUCGGGAGGAACAUCUGUGGCGAAGGCGGCCAUCUGGACCAGCACUGACACUGAGGCACGAAAGCGUGGGGAGCAAACAGG